UGAUUUCUUGGCAGGAGAGAUGGUUGGCAUCUCCCCUGACAGGGACGGGAACAGCUUUUGGCCAGAUCUUAUUGCUAAAUAAGGGAGGAUUAUUU